UAAUACAGAGGGUGCAAGCGUUAAUCGGAUUUACUGGGCGUAAAGCGUGCGUAGGUGGCCAAUUAAGUCAAAUGUGAAAUCCCCGAGCUUAACUUGGGAAUUGCAUUCGAUACUGGUUGGCUAGAGUAUGGGAGAGGAUGGUAGAAUUCCAGGUGUAGCGGUGAAAUGCGUAGAGAUCUGGAGGAAUACCGAUGGCGAAGGCAGCCAUCUGGCCUAAUACUGACACUGAGGUACGAAAGCAUGGGGAGCAAACAGGAUUAGAUACCCUGGUAGUCCAUGCCGUAAACGAUGUCUACUAGCCGUUGGGGUCUUUGAGACUUUAGUGGCGCAGCUAACGCGAUAAGUAGACCGCCUGGGGAGUACGGUCGCAAGACUAAAACUUAAAUGAAUUGACGG
rnacentral:rRNA from 1 species